UCACGGUUGCCACUGCAAACGUGAAGCUUUCUUCUUUGAAGUAUCUAGAGAACAUUGACUCAAAUACAGCCCUGAAGUUCUUGCCAGAGCUUCGAGUGGAUAAGGAUGGUUAUCCACCUUUUGCCUUGCAGGAUACAUAAACCAUUUAUGUUUCAUAUGAUAAGGACGAACAUUUCAUAGUCAUUUGGGAUUAAAUUGACACUUUUAUAGUACUUUAAUUUGAUAAGGACUAUUGCUAAUUCUAUGUCAAAGUAGUAUAAAAGUGUUAAUCCAAUAAUAAAUGACUAGGUGAUAAUCCGCGCCCUGCGGGGAGCGAGAAGAUUUUUUUAUAACUUUUAAUAUGUAGGCAUAAUAAAAGUUAAAGUCAUAGUAAAAAAUAUAUAUGUAAGAAAGUACGGAUUAUAACUAAGAAUUUUAGUAUGUCAAUAAAAAUUUAUAUGCGAUGAACUUUAAAAUUAAAUUGUAUAUUUGUUUGCAUGUAGGUAAAUUAUAAAUAUAAUAUUAAAUGAAACAUAAGCAAUAGUCUAAUAAAAUAUAAAGGUCAAUUUAUAAAUAAAAGAAAAUGAAAAAUAGAGACAAAAUAACUGCUGUCAAUAAUGCCUUCAGAAGUCUUCGUUUGCAAUCAUAUUAUGAGCAAUAGCAAAGAGAUCAUCUAGAGAAAUUAAAAACAUUAUUUAACAAAAUAAGUGAAUGCAUGUAUUACCUCAAUCGUAAAGCAUCAAUUUCUGGAACACCAAUGGGGUCGAAGACAAUUUUGGAAAACCCAUCAAUGUUAGUAACCCUCUAAGUCGGCCUUAUUAUGAAAUAUUAAAAAUAUUAGCAUAAUAUACAUAUAAUAUCAGCUCCUAUUAAUCUAUUGUAUAUACAAUAAAUACAAUAGAUUACCUUGGCCUCAAUUAAUUUGCCAACACUGUAAAACACAUAAUACUAUGUCUGCAUCUAUAGAUCCAUCAAGAAUCACAAGAACAGAACUGGAAAAAUUCAAGAACAGUUCAAGAACAGAGGAGAGAGACUGGUGUGAAUGAUAAGAGAUUUUAAAGAGAAAAAGAGAAAUAAAACCAGAGUAAUUUACGGAAGAGAUUUAGGUUUCAAGAGAUUGUUGCUCUGAUACCAUGAAAAUUUAUGAGAAUUAGUGAAAGUUUAUGAGAAUUAUUUGAGAGAUUUUGGUGAAGAACUAAGAGAGGUAUGUGAGAAAAUCCAAGAGAGAAACAAGAAUAUUUGAG
rnacentral:lncRNA from 1 species